GGACAUGGAUGAAUCUGGAGAACAUCAUCCUCAGCAAACUGACACAAGAACAGAAAAUGAAACACCGCAUAUUCUCACUCAUAGAUCAGCAGUUACAUUUGCUUGACACUCAAGAAAAAUUAUUCUGAGGUAUCAACUUCAUGGCUUUAGAGAGUGAAGUUUCAGGAAUAGAAUCUGGAAGCUGCCUUGUGAAAAAGCCUGGUCUAGCAUGGGCUCAUGGAUAUCAUUUUCUAUGUGGCAUUUCUUUCUAUACUGUCCCAAAUAACUUAUUCUUCACUGUGUUCAGCACAAUCAUUCAAAAUUUUGAACCUCUACAACCGAACAGCAUUGGCUCAAAGGCUCUCUUUUCAUCUGCUGCUACCCAUGUAAGAUGUGAAUUGCUCCACCUUCCACCAUGAUUCGGAGGUCACCCCAGCCACGUGGAACUAUGUUAGAAGAGCAAUUACGUUCCUUUGAGCAGCUGAUGGAGGACAUCAUCAAAAUGGAAGUACCUCUUUGUGAGAAAACAGUCAGCUUACCUUUACAUUAAUAGAUAUUACCUUUGGGAUAUAUCUGUGAGAAAAGAAAAGCUAUUUCAGUAAGUGGUAUCUCUAUUGUACUUCUCCACCUAUGUCAAAAUACUCUUUCAUAUGGCUUCUUUAGUUACAUUACUUGUAAUAAAAGAUAUAAAAUUUCACA
rnacentral:lncRNA from 13 species